GGUGAACGCUGGCGGCAUGUCUAAGGCAUGCAAGUCUAGGGGUCGUAUCUCACUUCGUUCGAUACUUCCAGUUGAUAGUUAUAAGUUGAAAGUUGAUAGUAUCACUACUUACAACUGACAACUUUAAUCUUACAACUGGAGCAUCGAGCACGGCGAGAUGCGACCCCGGCAAACGGGUGCGUAACACAUUGGUAAUCUGCCUCCAUCUCGGGCAUAACCCAGGGAAACUUGGGACAAUUCCCGAUAGUCAUGAGGGGUCGCAAGACAUUCUCAUGUAAAGAUCCGUCGGAUGGAGAGGAGCCUAUGGCCCAUCAGCUAGUUGGUAGGUAAAGCCUACCAAGGCUAUGACGGGUAGCGGGUGUGAGAGCACGACCCGCCUCAC
rnacentral:rRNA from 1 species